rnacentral:lncRNA from 10 species
GUUUUGUUUUGUUUUUAGAUACGAAGUCUCCCUCUUGUACCCCAGGCUGGAGUGCGAUGGCGCGAUCUCGGCUUACUGCAACCUCCGCCUCCCAGGUUCAAGCGAUUCUCCUGCUCAACCUCCCGAGUAGCUGGGAUUACAGGCGCCUGCAAUCACGCCCGACUAAUUUUUGUAUUUUUAGUAGAGGCAGGGUUUCACCAUUUUGGUCAGGCUAGUCUCAAACUCCUGACCUCAGGUGAUCUGCCUGCCUCGGCCUCCCAAAGUGCUGAGAUUACAGGUGUGAGCCACCGCACCUGGCCCCAUGUGUUUUAAGAUGUAGUUUUCAAACUGUAAUUCCAGUUUUUUAAGGACUCACAGGGUUCUUUUCAAUGGAACCUAUCCUAUUUAUUUUCUCCCUUUUUGUCUUUAGGCAAUUUUCCUCAUUACCUGAUAAGACUUGUCUCUUAAUCUUUGUUUUUCCCUAUGUAGAAGUCCCUGGCUCUUUUCCUGACUUUUGCUGGUAUUGGUAAGCUUAGAUAUCCGCAUUACAGCUUUAUUGGGAUAUAUGUGUGUGUGUUUUUCAAAAUAACUUAAAAGCACUCUUAUUUCACCCCUUUAUUUGAGUAACACUGGGCUAAAACAAAAUUUGGUUGAGAUUAUGUUUGUUUUUACUUGCUGGAAAUUAAUAAAUUUUUACAUUUUAAUAUGUAGCACAUAGGUAUAUACAAACAAGAUUAACUUGUUUAAAAGAAAAGCUGGCAACUUUUAGACAAAAAGAAACUUACUUUCUGUGCACUGCACAUUUAAUUAGAUGAAAAGGAGAAUAUAUUUCAACCAUGGAAGUUUCCGAGGCCUUUGGCACACUAGAUUUUUCAUAGAGGCCAACGUAUAUGAAGUGAGUCUUAAAGACAGGAUGCAACUUCAGUUCGGGAAUUUGGUUAAUUUUUUUUAAUCACAUAAAUUUACCAGAGGGAUGCAAACUUAAAAACUCCCAAAAGGAAAAAGUAGCAAUCUAGAGAGGAGUUAGAAUUCCUCUAGAUGAAAAUUUUAACUUGUUUCUUCUCAAUGUUUGUAAUUCAUAGAAGAUAAUCCAAUGUCAGGUUUCUGUAUCUACUAGUCUGAUCAUAAAUUUUGCAAAGACAUGAGCAUGUUCUUGAAACUUUAGUGUAUUGGCUCAAUGACAAUGUUCUUACUUGGCUAAUUCUAUAAGAGAUGUAACACAACACCAGAAAUACAGAUGUACUUGAAACUAUUUGUCUUAAUUACAUUUUUUAGUUUACCUGGUCCUAGAAGUGAUAAAUAAUGAAAUUCCUAUGCACAAAACUUUAAAAAAUAUUUCAUUCAGUUGACAAUUUUAAAAUGAGUAUUAACCCAUAGUAAAUGUCAAACAACAAUUAUAAUUAUCCUCUGUUUAUCUCAGGUGCCAAAGGGCAAGUAGAAACAGUAACAUUGUUCUUACCAUCUCAACAGGUGGGUGGAAUAAGACUUUACAAGCACCAUGUGAGCCUCCUCCUAAUUUGAGUCAUGGGCAAUCAUGGAGGUCUUCAUAGAAAUGAAUUGAGCAGAUACCUAUGAAACUUGAAAAAGCAAUGUGAAAUCUAGGGGAAGAACUUUAUAGAGGGAACAGCAAUUUGAGAUUAUUUCUCUUGUGAGUCUAAAU